UACAGAGGUGCCGAGCGUUAGGCGGAAUCACUGGGCUUAAAGCGUGUGUAGGCGGACUUCUAAGUACCUUGUGAAAUCCCACGGCUCACCCGUGGAACUGCUGGGUAUACUGGUCGUCUUGAGCCACCUAGGGGCGAGCGGAACAAAUGGUGGAGCGGUGAAAUGCGUAGAUAUCGUAAGGAAGACCAGUGGCGAAGGCGAAUCUCUGGACAGUUACUGACACUGAGGCACGAAGGCCAGGGGAGCAAACGGG
rnacentral:rRNA from 1 species